UGCAGACGCGGGCCUAUAUCAAAAGUUCGCUUCCGUUGGGGCUCGCGAAAAAGGAGACGAUGACAUGGCUGCGUCAGAAAUGGAAAGGGUUGUCAAGAAUUCUCACAAGAGUUGUAGUGGGAGUGGUCGAUUACAUGGAAGUACAACGAAAAGCUACAAUGACUAAUUAGACGAGUUCGAAGUCCCAGGUCGACGAGGAUCUUAAGGAACUCAUCGAGUCACAGAACAUCUCAAGAAGCUUUAUGUUGAAUAAGAGAAGUUUCAAGAUGAAAAUACGAGUCUCAAGUAAAACAAUAUUUUUUAUGUUUCGGUAAAAAUAUUAUAUUUGAAAGAUAGCUGGGUUAAAUUUACCGAAAUUCAGAAUGUAUGUGUGCACAGUUAAAAAUCUAUAUAUUCUAAUAACGUACAUUUAUAUUUUCUGAUAAAAGUUGUUCAUACCGCAAAUACGUUGAUAGUUUUCCAUUAAAAUUUUUCAGAUUACAAAAGAGAAAUUAAAUUGUA